GACUCCAUAGCUCAGCUGGAUAGAGCGUUUGACUACGAAUCAAAAGGUCGCAGGUUCGAAUCCUGCUGGGGCCACCA
rnacentral:tRNA from 1 species